UGGCGAACUGGUGAGUAACACGUGGGAAACCUGCCCAGAAGCGGGGGAUAACACCUGGAAACAGAUGCUAAUACCGCAUAACAACUUGGACCGCAUGGUCCGAGUUUGAAAGAUGGCUUCGGCUAUCACUUUUGGAUGGUCCCGCGGCGUAUUAGCUAGAUGGUGGGGUAACGGCUCACCAUGGCAAUGAUACGUAGCCGACCUGAGAGGGUAAUCGGCCACAUUGGGACUGAGACACGGCCCAAACUCCUACGGGAGGCAGCAGUAGGGAAUCUUCCACAAUGGACGAAAGUCUGAUGGAGCAACGCCGCGUGAGUGAAGAAGGGUUUCGGCUCGUAAAACUCUGUUGUUAAAGAAGAACAUAUCUGAGAGUAACUGUUCAGGUAUUGACGGUAUUUAACCAGAAAGCCACGGCUAACUACGUGCCAGCAGCCGCGGUAAUACGUAGGUGGCAAGCGUUGUCCGGAUUUAUUGGGCGUAAAGCGAGCGCAGGCGGUUUUUUAAGUCUGAUGUGAAAGCCUUCGGCUCAACCGAAGAAGUGCAUCGGAAACUGGGAAACUUGAGUGCAGAAGAGGACAGUGGAACUCCAUGUGUAGCGGUGAAAUGCGUAGAUAUAUGGAAGAACACCAGUGGCGAAGGCGGCUGUCUGGUCUGUAACUGACGCUGAGGCUCGAAAGUAUGGGUAGCAAACAGGAUUAGAUACCCUGGUAGUCCAUACCGUAAACGAUGAAUGCUAAGUGUUGGAGGGUUUCCGCCCUUCAGUGCUGCAGCUAACGCAUUAAGCAUUCCGCCUGGGGAGUACGGCCGCAAGGCUGAAACUCAAAGGAAUUGACGGGGGCCCGCACAAGCGGUGGAGCAUGUGGUUUAAUUCGAAGCUACGCGAAGAACCUUACCAGGUCUUGACAUACUAUGCAAAUCUAAGAGAUUAGACGUUCCCUUCGGGGACAUGGAUACAGGUGGUGCAUGGUUGUCGUCAGCUCGUGUCGUGAGAUGUUGGGUUAAGUCCCGCAACGAGCGCAACCCUUAUUAUCAGUUGCCAGCAUUAAGUUGGGCACUCUGGUGAGACUGCCGGUGACAAACCGGAGGAAGGUGGGGAUGACGUCAAAUCAUCAUGCCCCUUAUGACCUGGGCUACACACGUGCUACAAUGGAUGGUACAACGAGUUGCGAACUCGCGAGAGUAAGCUAAUCUCUUAAAGCCAUUCUCAGUUCGGAUUGUAGGCUGCAACUCGCCUACAUGAAGUCGGAAUCGCUAGUAAUCGCGGAUCAGCAUGCCGCGGUGAAUACGUUCCCGGGCCUUGUACACACCGCCCGUCACACCAUGAGAGUUUGUAACACCCAAAGUCGGUGGGGUAACCUUUUAGGAACCA
rnacentral:rRNA from 1 species